UUUCUUUAUUUAAAAAAUCCAUAUGAUAAAAUAAUUGUUAUAUGUAACUGCAACCAUAUUGCUUUUAGGAUGAGAUCUUGUUGGCUAGAAUGCAUCAACUAUUAGAUAGGCCUUAUAUUCUGGAAAGAUUCUUUGGCAGUUUUUUUCCCAACGGACUAGUUAGAGAAGCCUAAAGAGACAAGUUUUAUUUGGGUUUUAACUGCUGAAAAUACACUCCAGUUUCUUUCUGGGAAAACCAUGGGAGUUAAAGAAUGAAUAGGAUUUUAGCCUUGUUUAUAUGCUUAAAAGAAGAUGAUAGCACCAAAAUCCAUAAUCAACAAAGGGUAAUUAACAUUUCUACUUGUUUUUUAUUUAUUUAUUUUUGAGAUGGAGUUUCGCUGUUGUUACCCAGACUGGAGUGCAAUGGCACGAUCUACUUGUUCUUUAUUUCAGCCUUUGCUAGUUGCAAGGGUAACUGCUCUCCGUUUGAAAAACAAACAUUUGAGGCCAGUGCAUUUCAAACUGCAUGUAAAGUAUUACUUGCUGUUAGUACAGUUCUUUUUGUUCUGUGCAAUAUUCAUUCAAAUCCCAAUAUAUGUUAAUUUUUAAGUGGGCAUGUUCGUGGAGUCACUUUGUAACGAUGAAGAAGAUAUGACAAUCUUUUCAGACGUUCCUUUCUAUUUCCUCUUACAGCCAGUAAAGGCUUGUCAGUACAAGAAGGUCUGGGUUAGUGUAUUCAGAAUCAUAGGAAAUUAAAACCAGAAUGGUUAGCAGGUAGAGUUUGCAUAGCUGACCAAUGUGUGAAACUUUUUAUAGUUUUCAUUCGCUAGAUUUUUUUUCACAUUUCAAGUAAAAAUAAAGUCUCACUUAUCCUCCCUUGUUCAGAUGAAACUAUACAUUGGCCUAGAUACUAAUGAACCUCAAAGAUAUUUUAUAAUAUUUGGCCUAUUCAUUGUAUACCACAAAACUUAAGGGACAUUUGACUUCAUUAUGUAUGAUAUUUUGCUUAUUAUUUUUAAGGAGACUGCUGUAAUGCUGAAAACCUCAAGCCAUGUGUCACCCAUGGGUGGCAUGGUUAGGAGUGCUGCCUCUCUUUAUCCUCUUAACUCAGGCAUCCCUCAAACCAGCAAUACCUCCAGUGAUCAAGAACCAGCCUUUCAACAUUUUCUGGGCAGCCCCAACAAUGUAUUGUAUGCCUUUCUUCAACGUGGAUAUAAAUCUUCAAGUAUUUAACAUUAUAUCAAAUCCUUUAGAGACUCAAAGUGGGUCAAAAAAUUGCCAUAUUUUAUCCAAGUGAAUUAGGGUAUUACCCUUACUUCUCUCAAGAUGGAAACUCCUUUAAUGGAGGAAUGCCGCAGAACGUGAGCCUUUCUGAACGCCUUAGGAAAACUGCUGAUGACAUUGGAGAAGCUAUCCCUUGGUGGAGAUCAGAAGGACUUGUUGUUAUUGACUGGGAAAGUUGGAAACCCCAAUGGGAUAGAAAUUGGGGCAGCAGAAUAAUAUAUAAAAACCACUCUUUAGCCUUCACUAGAAACCACCAUCCUUACUGAUCAGAAAUGAAAUUGGAAACAGUUGCCCGAGAGGAAUUUGAAAAUGCUGGAAGGAAUUUCAUGAACACUACUCUCACACUGGCUUUAGAAAUGAGACCAAAAUGUUUAUGGGGCUUUUAUCUCUAUCCAGACUGCUACAAUUAUUAUUACAGAAUAAAUCCAGAGAUGUACACAGGUAACUGCCCAAAUGAUGAAAUUCUCCGCAAUGACCAACUCCUGUGGCUGUGGGGAAAAAGCGCAGCACUUUAUCCUUCAAUAUAUUUGGACAAAAUAUUGAAGCCAAGCAUAAAUGCUUUGAAAUUUGUUCAUUGUUGAGUUAGAGAAGCCAUGAGGAUUGCCGCAAUGGCUAGACAUAACUAUGUUCUGCCAGUUUUUAUUUUUUCCGGACCAUUUUACUUGCAUAGUACUGAAGCUCUGUCACAGGAGGACUUAGUACAUACAAUUGGCGAAAGUGCUGCAUUGGGGCAGCAGGAGUAAUAUUGUGGGGAGGAUUUGAAUAUUCUGCUUCAAAGGAGAACUGCUUAUCUGUGCAACAGUCUAUCCAAGGGCCUUUGGGCGAUUAUGCUGUGAAUGUGACAUCUGCAGCCAAGUUCUGUGGUCAGAGUCUAUGUAACAGUCAUGGAAGAUGUAUUCGAAAAACA